rnacentral:rRNA from 1 species
GUGGGGAAUAUUGGACAAUGGGCGAAAGCCUGAUCCAGCCAUGCCGCGUGUGUGAAGAAGGUCUUCGGAUUGUAAAGCACUUUAAGUUGGGAGGAAGGGCAGUAAGUUAAUACCUUGCUGUUUUGACGUUACCGACAGAAUAAGCACCGGCUAACUUCGUGCCAGCAGCCGCGGUAAUACGAAGGGUGCAAGCGUUAAUCGGAAUUACUGGGCGUAAAGCGCGCGUAGGUGGUUUUGUAAGUUGGAGGUGAAAUCCCCGGGCUCAACCUGGGAACUGCCUCCAAAACUGCAUGACUAGAGUACGGUAGAGGGUAGUGGAAUUUCCUGUGUAGCUGUGAAAUGCGUAGAUAUAGGAAGGAACACCAGUGGCGAAGGCGACUACCUGGACUGAUACUGACACUGAGGUGCGAAAGCGUGGGGAGCAAACAGGAUUAGAUACCCUAGUAGUCC